ACUCCUUAUAUGCUGUCCUGGUGCACAGUGGUGUCAGCUGUCAUGGAGGACACUAUUUCUGCUACACAAAGGCCAGCAAUGGAUUGUGGUACCGGAUGGACGAUGAAUCUGUGCAGCUGUGUUCCAUUGACACAGUUCUCAGGCAGCAAGCCUACCUGCUGUUCUAUGCCAGAUGCUCUGAUCUGAGAAUUGGAGAAAGG